rnacentral:rRNA from 1 species
CCUACGGGAGGCAGCAGUGGGGAAUUUUGGACAAUGGGCGAAAGCCUGAUCCAGCAAUGCCGCGUGAGUGAAGAGGGCCUUCGGGUUGUAAAGCUCUUUUGUCAGGGAAGAAACGGUGAGAGCUAAUAUCUUUUGCUAAUGACGGUACCUGAAGAAUAAGCACCGGCUAACUACGUGCCAGCAGCCGCGGUAAUACGUAGGGUGCAAGCGUUAAUCGGAAUUACUGGGCGUAAAGCGUGCGCAGGCGGUUUUGUAAGUCUGAUGUGAAAUCCCCGGGCUCAACCUGGGAAUUGCAUUGGAGACUGCAAGGCUAGAAUCUGGCAGAGGGGGGUAGAAUUCCACGUGUAGCAGUGAAAUGCGUAGAUAUGUGGAGGAACACCGAUGGCGAAGGCAGCCCCCUGGGUCAAGAUUGACGCUCAUGCACGAAAGCGUGGGGAGCAAACAGGAUUAGAUACCCUGGUAGUCCACGCCCUAAACGAUGUCUACUAGUUGUCGGGUCUUAAUUGACUUGGUAACGCAGCUAACGCGUGAAGUAGACCGCCUGGGGAGUACGGUCGCAAGAUUAAAACUCAAAGGAAUUGACGG